rnacentral:lncRNA from 1 species
GAGGAGCGCAGCCCCUUGGCCUGAAGACGUCUCUGGUUCCAGUGAGUGGCUAUUUAGGGAGGAGGGAAACACUGCAGUGAGGUGGAGGAGCUGCAUUAUCUUUUCCUUCAUCUCUGAAGCCAGGCUGUGCCAGAGAUAACACUGGAUGGAACCUUCUCAGUUUAAAAAGAGUCAUAAAAGAGAGAUCAAAGAGCUUUUGUGGCCAUGGAUAGAUAUAAGAAGCAAGAGGAAUCCCCUCCCUGGGCUCCUGAUUUCUAAGGUCUUUCUCCUUAGGCUUUGCAAACUUACUACUUGAUUACACACUGCCUGCCUACUAACUGCCAGCACCUGCAUUUCUUUGCUGGAAGAUUUUACCUGACCUCUGGAGGCUGCCUGCCACCCAUGGGAGUUCUUCACUGAUAUGAAGCUCCAGGUGCAGACAGUGGCAGCUGGCUUGAUAAUGCACCCUUUAUUGGCUCACUUCCCCACCUGACUACUGGGGAUUCUUCCACCCUUAAAUAAACUACCUG